ensembl:lncRNA
GGAUUCUGAGCUUCAAUCUUCUGUCUGCUGCAGCUGAGACUCAUGGGACAUUGAGUUUAUAGCUGCUCAGAGCUGCUCAUGUAGAGAGCGACACCUGCAGGAGGAAACUACAACUACAGCUGCUUUCACUUCACUCAGAACAUCAGGCUUAAAAUGAGCUUAAUCUGAUUUAUCUGAACUUAACUGGUAAUUAAAGACACAUUACUGAUGCUUUUUAGUUAAAAUCAACAAAUUAUUCAUUAAUAAUUAACAAAAAAUUAAGGAUUAUUCAUUAAUUCAUUAGUAACAGUGUUUUUGACCAAGUCAACUAGCUAGAAGUUACCAUGAAUAGUCUAAAAUAAAUAAUUAUCCAUGAUAAUGGAAUCAUGCUGUUAGAUAAAAUGUUAAUUGACAGUGUUUUGACUGCAAAUACAAUUUCAUUUGAAAGUGUUUUAUUUUCAUUUGGCUCAAAGUUAAGCAUAACAAAUUCAGCAAUGACCCCAAUUACAGUUUCUAAAGAAUGGCAUGUUUAUUAAUAUUCUAUAAUGACACACAUAUCUUGUGAAGAAAAAUGCACAAAUGCGGUUAAACUUGUUAAAAGUCAUGUAAAAAAAAACCCUGCAAAUUUAAGCAAAACCACAGUCAGAAAACACCAGGCGCUGCAAAACUGAGACACGGAUGAAGAGCUUCAAACAGAUAAAACAUCUAAACAGACACUGAAAAUAAAGAGAAAUCAACCAAAUCAAGAAUAAAGUAAAAGAGCAAGAGCAGAAAUGUGAAAAUAAACACACAGAAUGAGUUCAUGAUCUGACAGAUCUGAUUCAGAGAAAUAAAAGAGUUUGAUCACAGAUGAACAGAAGGAGUUUCAUAUAAUGACAUAAAAA